GAUGAACGCUGGCGGCGUGCCUAAUACAUGCAAGUCGAGCGAACAGACGAGGAGCUUGCUCCUCUGACGUUAGCGGCGGACGGGUGAGUAACACGUGGAUAACCUACCUAUAAGACUGGUAUAACUUCGGGAAACCGGAUCUAAUACCGGAUAAUAUAUUGAACCGCAUGGUUCAAUAGUGAAAGACGGUUUUGCUGUCACUUAUAGAUGGAUCCGCGCCGCAUUAGCUAGUUGGUAAGGUAACGGCUUACCAAGGCGACGAUGCGUAGCCGACCUGAGAGGGUGAUCGGCCACACUGGAACUGAGACACGGUCCAGACUCCUACGGGAGGCAGCAGUAGGGAAUCUUCCGCAAUGGGCGAAAGCCUGACGGAGCAACGCCGCGUGAGUGAUGAAGGUCUUCGGAUCGUAAAACUCUGUUAUUGGGGAAGAACAGAUGUGUAAGUAACUAUGCACGUCUUGACGGUACCUAAUCAGAAAGCCACGGCUAACUACGUG
rnacentral:rRNA from 1 species